rnacentral:tRNA from 1 species
GCCUAGUUAGCUUAGUUGGUAGUGCGUCUGCCUUGUAAGCGCUAGGCCGCGGGUUCGAUUCUUGCCCGGGGCG